AUUUAAAGGGCCGCGGUAUUUUGACCGUGCAAAGGUAGCAUAAUCAUUAGKCUUUUAAUUGAAGGCUGGAAUGAAUGGUUUGACGAAAUAUUGACUGUCUCUUUAUGAUAAGUAAAAUUUAACUUUUGAGUUAAAAGGCUUAAAUAAUUAUAAAAGACGAGAAGACCCUAUAGAUCUUUAUAUAAGAAUAUGCUUAUUUUGUUUGGAUGAUGUAUUAAUAGGUAUGAUUGUUAUAUUUUGUUGGGGUGACAUGAAGAUGUAASUAACUCUUUAUUGUUAAAACAUUGAUUUAUGGACAGUUGAUCCGCUAUUAGCGAUUAUAAGAUAAAGUUACCUUAGGGAUAACAGCGUAAUUUUUUUUGAGAGUUCUUAUCGAC
rnacentral:rRNA from 1 species